GAUUACCUCAGUAACGGCGAGUGAAGCGGUAACAGCUCAAAUUUGAAAUCUGGGCCUUUCAGGCUCCGAGUUGUAAUUUGUAGAAGAUGCUUUGGGUGCGGCCCCGGUCUAAGUUCCUUGGAACAGGACGUCAUAGAGGGUGAGAAUCCCGUAUGUGAUCGGUGGCUUGCGCCCGUGUAAAGCUCUUUCGACGAGUCGGGUUGUUUGGGAAUGCAGCUCUAAAUGGGUGGUAAAUUUCAUCUAAAGCUAAAUAUUGGCCAGAGACCGAUAGCGCACAAGUAGAGUGAUCGAAAGAUGAAAAGCACUUUGGAAAGAGAGUUAAACAGUACGUGAAAUUGUUGAAAGGGAAGCGCUUGCAACCAGACUUGCGCGGGGUUGAUCAUCCGGGGUUCUCCCCGGUGCACUCGGCCCCGCUCAGGCCAGCAUCGGUUUUGGUGGUUGGAUAAAGGCCUUGGGAAUGUGACUUCUUUCGGGGAGUGUUAUAGCCCUCGGUGCAAUGCAGCCUACCGGGACCGAGGACCGCGCUUCGGCUAGGAUGCUGGCGUAAUGGUUGUAAGCGACCCGUCUUGAAACACGGACCAAGGAGUCUAACAUCUAUGCGAGUGUUUGGGUGUCAAACCCAUGCGCGUAAUGAAAGUGAACGGAGGUGAGAACCCUUAAGGGCGCAUCAUCGACCGAUCCUGAUGUCUUCGGAUGGAUUUGAGUAAGAGCAUAGCUGUUGGGACCCGAAAGAUGGUGAACUAUGCCUGAAUAGGGUGAAGCCAGAGGAAACUCUGGUGGAGGCUCGCAGCGGUUCUGACGUGCAAAUCGAUCGUCAAAUUUGGGCAUAGG
rnacentral:rRNA from 1 species